rnacentral:rRNA from 1 species
GCUUGUCUCAAAGAUUAAGCCAUGCAUGUCUAAGUACAUACCGCAUUAAGGUGAAAACCGCGAAAGGCUCAUUAAAUCAGUUAUGGUUCCUUAGAUCGUACCAAUCCUACUUGGAUAACUGUGGUAAUUCUAGAGCUAAUACAUGCCGAUAAUGCUCCGACCACUCGCCCGGGACGAGCGCUUUUAUUAGAACAAGACCAAUACGGGACAAUCGAAGCCAAACCCCGGGCCGUUUUUUUUUUAGCCUCCUCAAAAAAGGUUAAUUGGGGCGGUUCGGGAUGGUCUAGAACCCGUCAAAAAACUUGGUGACUCUGGAUAACUUUGAGCUGAUCGCACGGUCCUCGCACCGGCGACGCAUCUUUCAAAUGUCUGACUUAUCAACUGUCGAUGGUAGGUUAUGUGCCUACCAUGGUUAUAACGGGUAACGGAGAAUCAGGGUUCGAUUCCGGAGAGGGAGCCUGAGAAACGGCUACCACAUCCAAGGAAGGCAGCAGGCACGCAAAUUACCCACUCCCGGCACGGGGAGGUAGUGACGAAAAAUAACAAUACGAGACUCUUCCGAGGCCUCGUAAUUGGAAUGAGCACAUUUUAAAACCUUUAGCGAGGAUCUAUUGGAGGGCAAGUCUGGUGCCAGCAGCCGCGGUAAUUCCAGCUCCAAUAGCGUAUAUUAAAGUUGUUGCGGUUAAAAAGCUCGUAGUUGGAUCUCUGGACCGGGUAGGCGGUCCGCCCUUCGCUUGGCGGUACACUACCUAUUUUCCGGCUCCAUAUUUAACCCCGCCGGCCUUUGUCCCUCGAUGCUCUUCACCGAGUGUCGUGCGGAGACCGGAACGUUUACUUUGAACAAAUUAGAGUGCUCAAGGCAGGCGCAGUCCCCGCCCGCAUAGCCCAGCAUGGAAUAAUGGAAUAAGACCCCGGUUCUAUUUUGUUGGUUUUCGGAACACGAGGUAAUGAUUAAUAGGGACUGACGGGGGCAUUCGUAUUGCGGCGCUAGAGGUGAAAUUCUUGGACCGUCGCAAGACGAACUACUGCGAAAGCAUUUGCCAAGAAUGUUUUCAUUGAUCAAGAACGAAAGUUAGAGGUUCGAAGGCGAUCAGAUACCGCCCUAGUUCUAACCAUAAACGAUGCCAACCAGCGAUCCGCCGGAGUUCCUCCGAUGACUCGGCGGGCAGCUUCCCGGGAAACCACAAGUUUUUGGGUUCCGGGGGAAGUAUGGUUGCAAAGCUGAAACUUAAAGGAAUUGACGGAAGGGCACCACCAGGAGUGGAGCCUGCGGCUUAAUUUGACUCAACACGGGAAAUCUCACCCGGCCCGGACACUGGAAGGAUUGACAGAUUGAGAGCUCUUUCUUGAUUCGGUGGAUGGUGGUGCAUGGCCGUUCUUAGUUGGUGGACCUGUUGAUCUGUCUGGUUGAUUCCGAUAACGAACGAGACUCUAGCCUGCUAAAUAGCUGGCCCAUACCAUCGGUGCGCCGUUACCGUGCCUUCGCGAACCGCGGUUAGGUGCCGUUGUCGUUUUUCAUUCACCCUAAGUCUUUACCUAAUUGAUGCCGUAGUCGUUUUUGCGUGUUUGACUGCCGGCUGCGUAAAUGUUUCUGCACCCGAUUUUUCAAUGUGGAGGUGGCUAGGCGUUUCGGCGCCUUUGUCAUACUUGCUUGGAUGUCGGUCACUGUUGAGGCUUUGCGUGGUUUGGUUCGUUAUUUCCCGUGGGCGGCGAAAGCUGAUAUUUUGAAGGCGGAUGGGAGUCUGUUGGCGCAGCGUGUUUACCCCGUGGGGAUGUUGGUGCGAGUCGGCCUCCGGAGUGGGUCAAACGCUUCUUAGAGGGACAAGCGGCGUAUAGCCGCGCGAGAUUGAGCAAUAACAGGUCUGUGAUGCCCUUAGAUGUCCGGGGCCGCACGCGCGCUACAAUGAAACGGCGAGCAGGUCUCAUACCCUAUUCCGAGAGGAACGGGUAACCCUAUGAAUUCGUUUCAUGGUUGGGAUCGGGGCUUGAAACCAACCCCGUGAACUAGGAAUUCCCAGUAGGCGCGAGUCAUCAACUCGCGCCGAUUACGUCCCUGCCCUUUGUACACACCGCCCGUCGCUACUACCGAUUGGAUGUUGUAGCAAGGUCUUUGGACUGGCAAUCGUGACGGCGUUCGCGUCGUUGUGGUAUGCCGGAAAGAUGACCAAACUAUAUCAUCUAGAGGAAGUAAAAGUCGUAACAAGGUUUCC